rnacentral:rRNA from 1 species
CAAUAGCGUAUAUUAAAGUUGUUGCAGUUAAAAAGCUCGUAGUUGGAUUUCUGGUCGGAAGCUCCUGUCCUCUGAUGAGCGUACAAGUGCGUCCUACCAUCCUUCUGUUAACCUUUAAGGCUUUCGCGGCUUUCUAGGGGCUCAGAUAUUUUACCUUGAGAAAAUUAGAGUGUUUCAGGUAGGCUAGCGCCGGAAUACAUUAGCAUGGAAUAAUGGAAUAGGACUUUUGCCUCUUCUGUUGGUCAUGAGGCUCGAGUAAUGAUUAAUAGGGAUAGUUGGGGGCAUUAGUACUUAACUGUCAGAGGUGAAAUUCUCGGAUUUGUUAAAGACUAACUUAUGCGAAAGCAUUUGCCAAGGAUGUUUUCAUUAA